rnacentral:lncRNA from 1 species
CUAGUGCCCGGACCUGCAUCACGAAACAGAUGCAGAGCGUAGCAUGAGUACCAAAACAACCGGUACCCAGUAGGCAUCAUAGGCCGACUGAACUUGAAAAAUAAAGGCAAUAUGAAAAGAAGGAAUAAUACAAACCGAGGGUCAAGAGCGAAAAUCUAAGUAACAAUGGAAUGCACACGAGUGUACAAAGAACUAACUAAAGUAAUCUAUAAGCUAACUACACCUAACUGGACCCCCCAUAAGCCCAGAAGGUACACUCGUGCGCAAGUUAAAUAAAAACCCGAACGGACCCCCAUAAGCCCGAC